CUCUGUGACUCCUACGGGAGGCAGCAGUGGGGAAUAUUGCACAAUGGGCGCAAGCCUGAUGCAGCAACGCCGCGUGAGCGAUGAAGGCCUUCGGGUCGUAAAGCUCUGUCCUCAAGGAAGAAUAAAUGACGGUACUUGAGGAGGAAGCCCCGGCUAACUACGUGCCAGCAGCCGCGGUAAUACGUAGGGGGCAAGCGUUAUCCGGAAUCACUGGGCGUAAAGGGUGCGUAGGCGGUUUUUUCAAGUCAGAAGUGAAAGGCUAUGGCUCAACCAUAGUAAGCUUUUGAAACUGUUAAAACUUGAGUGCAGGAGAGGAAAGUGGAAUUCCUAGUGUAGAGGUGAAAAUUCGUAGAUAUUAGGAGGAACACCAGUGGCGAAGGCGACUUUCUGGACUGUAACUGACGCUGAGGCACGAAAGCGUGGGGAGCGAACAGGAUUAGAUACCCUGGUAG
rnacentral:rRNA from 1 species